GCCGCUACCUGCAGUCGACGAGAAAGUGGAGCAAUCCAUGAGUACAGUGGCGUACGGGUGAGUAACACGUGGGUGAUCUACCUCUUAGUGAGGAAUAACCCUGGGAAACCGGGGCUAAUACCGCAUAAGCCUGAGAAGGGAAAGCAGCAAUGCGCUGAGAGAGGAGCCCGCGGCCGAUUAGCUAGUUGGUGAGAUAAAAGCCCACCAAGGCAGAGAUCGGUAGCCGGCCUGAGAGGGCACACGGCCACACUGGCACUGAAACACGGGCCAGACUCCUACGGGAGGCAGCAGUGGGGAAUCUUGCACAAUGGGGGAAACCCUGAUGCAGCGACGCCGCGUGAGCGAUGAAGCCCUUCGGGGUGUAAAGCUCUUUCGUCAGGGAAGAUCAUGACGGUACCUGGAGAAGCAGCUGCGGCUAACUACGUGCCAGCAGCCGCGGUAAUACGUAGGCAGCAAGCGUUGUUCGGAGUUACUGGGCGUAAAGGGUGUGUAGGCGGUUCUUUAAGUUUGGUGUGAAAUCUCCCGGCUCAACCGGGAGGGUGCGCCGAAUACUGAGGGACUAGAGUGUGGGAGAGGAAAGUGGAAUUCCUGGUGUAGCGGUGAAAUGCGUAGAUAUCAGGAGGAACACCGGUGGUGUAGACGGCUUUCUGGACCAUAACUGACGCUGAGACACGAAAGCGUGGGUAGCAAACAGGAUUAGAUACCCUGGUAGUCCACGCCCUAAACGAUGCAUAUUUGGUGUGGGUCAUUCAGUUGAUCCGUGCCGGAGCUAACGCGUUAAAUAUGCCGCCUGGGGAGUACAGUCGCAAGGCUGAAACUCAAAGGGAAUUGACGGGGGCCCGCACAAGCGG
rnacentral:rRNA from 1 species